UGGCGGGUGAAAGCAGCAGUGAGCGGAGCGGUGAGAAAUACAGAGAGAGUUAUAAUAGCGGUUAUUAACACUGACUGUCCAUUAGAGAAUCCUGAGCUGAGGCAGCGGGGGUGUGCGGGGAUCCGGGAGCGAGGAGGAGGCCCGACUUUUGGCAGCGUCGUCUUGGCGAGUUGCCGAGUGAAUGAGCGCUCGCGCAUGCGCACUGUAUUAGCCCCACAGUGAGUUGAUAGGAGAGGCGCAGAAAAACGCGGCUUUGCUCCAUGAACACUUGAACUUGGCUUAUCAUUACUGUUCACUGUUUCUGUUAACUUUAAGAGACUGGGUUUUUGAGAAUCAUUAGAACUGGAUCUGGAUUUCUCCUGUUGAUGGGAGAUGGCGAGCCCCCAGUGAGAUCUCUCCUUAAUUGGAGGAGUGAGGAACCAAGGCUGAAGAGGACACCACAUCCCUUCUGCGCUUUCACUUCUGUAUCAGUGUGCACGCAUGUGCGAGAUCUUCUUCGGGUCUUAAGCGGUUGGCAGCCUUCAGCGCAUUUGACUGAGUGAGAGCAGCGUACUCAGCCAACCAUUUUUUUUUUUUUCAGUGUAUCGUACCACAAGCAUUGACCUGAUUGUCCAGGGAAACAAGGACUAAAUGUAGCACCUGUCUGGGAGCGUUUCAACCACAGCUGCUUGUGAGGAAUACAAUAACUCUGAAGGCUUAAGUGCAAUUACAGCUGGGUCACGGUUACCAAAAUCAUUGCAGGCUUGAGACAGCGUUUUUGAUUGGCUUCUAGCAGCAUUGCUGAGGAUGAAGAAAUGGCAGAAGAUGUCCCUGACAUUCCUGUUGAUGUUUGUGAAUUGGAGGAUGGCUUCUCUGACGAGGACGUCUCUAUGGAGAUAGAGGAGGUUGAUUCUGAUGGUAGUAGCUGGGACAGUGGAGACGACUCCAUUCAAACUAUCCAGUCCAAGUGGGACAAAGCAUGCAUCAUGUCAGACUUAAAUACAGAUGUUGAAAUGCAGGAGAAUCCAGUUAGAGAAUGUAAAAGACCAAGACGGCUCAGAGAGUCAUCAUCAUCACUAUCUGAGGAGGAGGAUGAUCCUGAACACCUAAGAAGACCUCCCCCUUUACCUUUGCAGGGUUCCUACGCAGUAUGGAAAAGUAUGGAAUUUGAUUUUAGUAUUUUCCAGGUCUGGAAAAGUAUGGAAAAUGGAAAUUAGGGUAUGGAGAAAUAUUUGUGUUUCCAGACCUUUGCCGCUACAUAGUAAAAUGAAGCUCAACAUUCCGACAUUCAGUUGAAUUUUGCCAAAGAAAUGUGUUGAAAUGCGGAGGGAGGGAAACGGGUGUUCUUUUGUACUGGCAUGCGCUCCGCCACACCCCCUGAACCUGCUUGCUUCUUGCAAGACUUUGGAAAAGACGCAGGAAAAACCCCCUGCUACAAAAGGCCUCUUGAACACGCGUGAACACACAUCAUAGCUCCAGUCAGUGUGAAAUGCUUAUGGCUUAUUUGGCAGUGUUGCCAGAAUUUGCUAGAAAAAUAAGGCACACGGACCCUGAAAACAAGCGACCCAAGACAAAAAAAACUGCCAACAAAAAUAUGAAGGCUGUGUACGCAAACGUACAUAUAAACAAGUUACAACUCUGAAUCACCAUCCCCAAAACCCGCCACUUCUGAUUUUUUUUUUAAGCGACAAAAAAGCAAGCCCAAAGCCGCUUAUAACAAGAAUAGGCAACCCACGUACGUAGAUCAACGUAGGCUACGUUAGGCAUAGCCUACCACCAGAGAGAGGAAUGUAAACUCAGCAAUGGGUAAAUGCACGUUUUCUGAUGGAUGGCUAUCCAAACCAGAAUACACAGCUUGGCUGAGAAAAGAUCCCAAAUGGCAAAGUAAGGCUAAAUGCAAGCUUUGUAUAAAAUCAUUUGAUAUUUCCAACAUGGGGGAGGCGGCGAUUUUAAGUCACAUGAAGGGGAAGAAGCACCAGCACUUGGUCACAGCAUCAUCGUCGAACGUUUCAACUUCUUUUUUUUACUCAGUCGAAAGUGGGGCCAAGAACAACAGAAACGCCAAGCAAUGCACUCCUUCAGGCAACAAAUGAUGAACGAGCCACAGCUACAUCCUGUAGCUCAAUGAGGACCUUUGCGAUUGGAUGUGAGGUUCUGUCUGCGGAAGUGUUGUGGGUACUUGAUGUUAUGGAAAAGCACGGCUCCUUCAACAGCUGCUCAGGGAAGAGUGACCUUUUUCAUCUUAUGUUUCCAAACAGCAACGUUGCCUCAAAAUUCAGCUGUGGAGAUGACAAAGCAGCUUACUUGACAACCUUUGGUAUUGCACCACAUUUCUCAUCUUUACUUUUGUCCAAAGUUAAAUCUGCUACUGACUAUGUUUUACUUUUUGAUGAGAUUUUGAACCGUCCACUCUGAGCGAAACAGCUUGAUGUGCAUGUAAGGUUUUGGGAUGGAGACUUUGUCAGGUCAAGAUACUUGGACUCUUUUUCUUGGGCAUGCAUAUGCUGCAGACCUCCACUCACAACUAAGGGCCAGCUGCAACAGUGUUGGAAUACAGUCUUUUACAGAUAUCAAUGGAUGGUCCAAAUGUAAAUUGGAAAUUGUUUGACACGCUGUCUAAGGACUUGGAAGAGGAGACUGGGUCCAAGCUCCUCAACAUAGGGAGUUGUGGGCUACAUAUACUGCAUGAUGCAUUUCAAGCUGGCAGCUAUGCAACAACUUGGGAUGCUCUUAACAGUCUUUAUUGGCUUUUUAAGGACUCCCCAGCCAGACGUGAGGAUUACACCUCAGUAACAGGUUCAGCUGUCUUCACCCUGAAAUACUGUAAACAUAGAUGGCUAGAAAAUGUUCCAGUCCUUGAAAGAGCCAUUACGAUAUGGCCACAAAUUCAGGCAUAUGUAGCUGCGGUAAAUGCUUCAAAAGUGUCACACCCAAAGAACAAGUCCUUUGAGUCUGUGAUGAAGGCUUGCACCGACCCUUUGUUUCUCGUCAGAGCCAAUAUCUUUUUCAAUUGCGCAAGAGUGUCAUCCUUUCCUUUUAAAAUAUCAAGCCGAUAAGCCUGUGCUGCCUUUCCUGGCUGACGAUCUUUUCACCACAGUGAAGCAUCUUCUCCAGAGGUUUGUCACAGAUGACACUCUUGAGAGAGUGAACAGCCCCAUGAAGCUCGUCUCUGAGGACUUUAAAGAUGUAGCAAAUCACAAGGACACCUCGCGGAUCAACAUAGGAUUUGUUGCAGACAAACUAACAACUGAAAGACAUGAAGAUUAGAAAAAAAGUUUCUGAGCGAGAUGUCUUUUUGGUCAGAAAAGAAACUAAAGACUUCCUCGUCACAGCAGUGACGAAGCUACUGGAGAAGUGCCCUCUAAGGUACACACUGGUAAGAAACCUUGCAUGGCUAGAUCCACAGAAGAUAAGAGAAAAGCCUGACAUUUGUGAAAAGCAACUGAGGCAGUGCCUACAUGUAAUCUCCAGUGCUGGACACGUCCGAGAGAACCGGUGUGACCAGAUCCUUCAUCGGUUCAAGGAUUUUGUGGUUGUCUGCAAAACGAAUGAUGAUGCCAUACAGUGGCCCACUGGUGCCUACUCCAGAUUGGACACGUUUUUUCAUGCACUGCUCUCCAAGGAGCCGGGAAUGAAAGAUCUGUGGACUCUUGUUCAGAAAGUUCUCCUCCUCUCCCACGGUCAGGCCUCAAUAGAAAGAGGAUUUUCCAUAAAUAAGAACAUUGUUGUCACAAAUAUGAGGGAAAGAACAGUGGUGGCUCAGAGGGUCAUAGUAGACCACCUCCAUUAUGUGGGUGGGGUAGGUAGUGUGACUAUGACAAAGGAACUUCUACAUUCUGCAUCAUGUGCAAGGCAACACUACCAUGCAUUCCUUAAUGAUGAAAAGAAGGAGGAGGAGCAUGGACAACAAGCACUGAAAAGAAAGGCAGCGCAGGAUGAACUGGACCAAUUGAAGAGAAAAAGAAAGCAGAUUCAGACUAACAUAAAAGCACUUCUCACAUCUGCAGAUGAGUUGGCAGUGGAAGCGGAAGCUACUGAGGACAUGUCCACCCUGAGCAAAUCUAAUGCCUUCAGACAAGCAGCGAAAGAAAAAGAGAAGGAAGUAGAGAAAUGUGACAAAGAAAUUUUUCUUUUCAAUGUAAUAAAGAGCUGAGUAUUUAGUGUGUGAUUUAAGUAUGUUUGUGAGUGCAUGUGUGAAUAUGUCUGUUAGCAUGUUUUCUUAUGAAAGAUUGUGAGGAUUCUGCUCCAUCUCCAGUUCCAUCACUCAGUUUUCAGUGCUACAGAGAUUAUUUUUCAUUGUAAGUGACACAUCUGUGAGUGCAUGAGUGAAUGUGUUACCAUGUUUUCUUAUGAAAGAUUAUUGUGAGGAUUCUGCUCCAUCUCUAGUUCCAUCACUCAGUUUUCAGUGCUACAGAGAUUAUUUUUCAUUGUAAGUGACACAUCUAUGAGUGAAUGUGUUACCAUGUUUUCUUAUGAAAGAUUGUGAGGAUUCUGCUCCAUCUCUAGUUCCUUCACUCAGUGUUGACUGCAACGGAGAUUAUUUUCCAUUGUAAGUGACAGAAUUUUGACUUUUAUGCAAGAAAAUUGUGCUCAUGAUCCAGAGGUUGAAAAAUAAAUGUCAACAAAGUUCCUUUA